UAACGAGAGACGUGAAAGCAAGAGGGCCGUGGAAACUGGAAAGUCGUGCAGUAUCUCACCACCGAUCUUCACAGCUUCACUUCAGGGCUGGAGGCUGCCACUAGGGGAAUUUAGUAGUAGAAGUGCCACAAAUAAUUGAUACGGUGGUACCGAUGCAACUGAUGAGAAGAAAGAUUUAAGAGAGGGUGUGGAAGUCGGCGGUGAGAGUUGCAGGGCAGGCUGAAGUGAACAAACAUGUAAGGACUCAUGAGCGCAUCUUAUAUCUGCUUCAGUUUCCUCAAACAUCUAGAAAGAGAUUAAUCCCAACCAGAAUAUCACCCUGCUCACCGAUUACUUUCCGUCACAGUGACAACCAGUUUCAGUGAAGAGCGCUCAGUUUUUGGUUUACCAUAUGUAAACCACGCCAUCGACAAUGUGAUUCCGUCGGCACACCGGACUCGAAUCCCAUGGUGGUCGACCUAGCUCGUCCAAAUCAAAUAGCAAUACAACAAGCCCGUCGUGAACUAAGUAUUCAAGUAAUGCAACAAGAGUUUACUUCAGCUGGUCAUGAAAAUCCUAGGAAGAAAAAGAGAGUAGUUUGAUAAAAGGAAGUGGUGGUGUUCGUGCUGGCAUUCCGGUGGUUGUUAUUCUUCUUUGCGAAGAUGGGAGGGCACAGAAAGCAGAAGCAAGAGGGUUGCUUCAAGGACUGCAAAAAGCAAGAUCAAUGAGAGCCACAACUGUAGCCAUCUGGACUGAUUGUACAGAUCUGAGAGAUUGGCUAACGGACAACUCUGCUUCUAAAUGGCAUCGGGAGUUAUUUCACAAACUGUUGGACACCAAAUCUACUCUUGAGAUUCGUAACCGAGGUGGUUUCAAUUUUAAGUUGUAAUCUCUCUUCUAUUUUCUUUGUGAGAGAGUUGUCAUUUCCAAAGGGGAAGGAGUUAAAAAUGUCAUUUCAUUUAGAAUGUACAGUUAUGACUGAAAGUUAAAACACCAGUUGUCUUAAUAAGGUUAUUCGAAGCAGUUUUCCAGGUGACUUCCAAUGGAACCCAAGAACCUGCCCUGGCGGACAAAUUCACCCUCAAUUAUUCCAUCUCUGAUCAGAGCUAAACCCUCUAUUAUGAUCAGAACCAAAGAAGAAUGGAGACGCAGGAACAGGGCAGUUGCAGAUCAAAACAGAACCGAUGUUGGAUGUUCGAUUUUUAUAUGUUUCAAGGACAUCUCUUAUGUUGUGAGGUCCAGGAGUGGGAGAAACUAGGCAUUGCUGUGCAGUUAAAAGUCUUUGUUCCUAAGCCAUGGAAGUGGCUACCUUGGUGGAAAUCAGUGAGUAUUUUACAAAACAAAG